UUGAACGCUGGCGGCAGGCCUAACACAUGCAAGUCGAGCGGAUGAAGGGAGCUUGCUCCUGGAUUCAGCGGCGGACGGGUGAGUAAUGCCUAGGAAUCUGCCUGGUAGUGGGGGAUAACGUCCGGAAACGGGCGCUAAUACCGCAUACGUCCUGAGGGAGAAAGUGGGGGAUCUUCGGACCUCACGCUCUCAGAUGAGCCUAGGUCGGAUUAGCUAGUUGGUGGGGUAAAGGCCUACCAAGGCGACGAUCCGUAACUGGUCUGAGAGGAUGAUCAGUCACACUGGAACUGAGACACGGUCCAGACUCCUACGGGAGGCAGCAGUGGGGAAUAUUGGGCAAUGGGCGAAAGCCUGAUCCAGCCAUGCCGCGUGUGUGAAGAAGGUCUUCGGAUUGUAAAGCACUUUAAGUUGGGAGGAAGGGCAGUAAGUUAAUACCUUGCUGUUUUGACGUUACCAACAGAAUAAGCACCGGCUAACUUCGUG
rnacentral:rRNA from 1 species